ACCAGGUCUCAAAUGGAACCCUAUGCACUAUAGAGUGCCCUACCUUUGACUAGACCCCUAUGUGCCUUAAUCAGAAGUAGUGCACAGACCGAUAGAAUGGGGUGCCAUUUGACACACAAAUGUUGGUGUGAAUGACCAAUAAUCUGACAAUGUUUCAUCUGGAUUAUAUUGGUUUUUCUUAUUACCAAUAAUCAGACAAUGUAUCAUCUCAAAAAAGCAAUCAAUAAUCAAAUGAAUAAUAUUUUUUUUACAUUAACAGCUGUUGAUCAGUCAUAUUCUGGGUCAAGGGUAGAGGUCAGAAGGGCCCCUCCAUCUCUAGUUCAACUAGAUUGUAUUGGGCUCUGUUGGGGUUGUAUGCAAAUCAACAACUGAUGAAGUACAGAACUACUUGAUCCUGUGACAGGAAUUUACUUAAUAAAACACUACCUGCUUGGGAUUGGUGGAUUUAUAAAGUUGGCCGGGCAGGACUUCCACGUGGAUAUGUGGUGUACUGAUAUUUACUACAUGAAGAAUAACGGACAUCUUUCCUCGCCUUGUUUGAUCCAUUCCUUCGAGGAGGAUGCAACGUUCAGAAAUGUAGAAGAGAUUGUCUGGCCAACAAAAUACGAAGUGUCUGCUCUAUUUGAUUUUGUUUCUAUCUUGGUCCAAGUUUCCAGUGUCCGCCUCUACAGGAAGCUGACAAUGUAUGACUCUCCUCAGCCAAUCCUGUCCCUCCGGACACUUCACACCAACCCGACCACUGUGUACUCUUCCCGCUACCCAGAAUGCACUAUUACAACUGAUAAUUCAGUGAUUGAUUUGUAGAGUAUGACCUAACCUGUUUUCCAAAUGAAACAUUGUUCAGUGUGGGGUGCACUCUGUUUAACCUGAGCCCUGCUCAAAAGUAGUGCAUUUCUGUGGUCCAGGGAGGACCACUAGUCAAAGACUGUGCCUCCAUUGCAUACGUUCUGCUGGGAUGUGGGUUUGAGUCCGACCUGCUGCUCUUUCAGCAAAAACUCACCACUUUCCUGUCCAGUAAAGGAAAUAAUGCCUGAAAAUAUAUCUUUAAUAUAGUGCACUUCAUAGGGAAUCUCUUGUAAUUUGGGACGCACAGAAACUGUAAUCAUUGAAUGGGUUAACAGCUUUAAAGUGUGACCGUUGCCGACGUCACUUUUUAAAGGUAUUCCGGAGAUGGAUUUUUAGCUGUGAGGAGAUGGGAUUUUGUUAGCGUACAAUUGUUAUUUUGUAGUCCACUUUGUGUGUGGUACCUUUGUGUGGAAAUGAGUCUACAUAUGUAAUGACAUUUAAAAUGCCAAGAGAUGAACGUGGUAUCUUGGGUGAGUCCAUAGUUGUCACCAGUGGCUACUCAGACCAAACUACACCGUGGAAUAUGGCAACACAAGGG
ensembl:lncRNA